ACCAAAAAUCUAGCCUCCAAAACUCAUCUCACCAAAACUUCACAACUCCACGAAAAACUGAUCUCAGUCAAAACCCUCCUCCGCCCCAAAACCCAUCUCCGCCAAUGGAGACAGCGGCGGCGGUUUCUUCCCAGCAGCCUUCCCUCUCCAAUCCUUCGCCAGUAACGACCCUUCCCAAGCUCCUCGUGUCUCUUUCAACGUCUCUCUCAUCCGUUCACCUCAUUUUCCCAUUUCUUCCCGGAAGCACAGGGCAGUUUGUUGUAGUUGGAGCUCUCCCGAGGCUGGCUCCUGUGCUCAUAGAAAAGGGAUUUAGUAAAUUAGAUCAUUCUUUUCCUUAAAGUUGUUCUAUGUUUAGAAAGUCAUUUUUUUUUCCUCUUCUAAUGUUGAUCUGAACUUGAUUGACAGGGAUGAUCUGGUAGAGAAUUUAUGCCUAUGCCAAUCAAUUUUCUCUUGGAUUCUUUAUCAUUGACCUUUGCUACCAUUUGAUGGGAGCCCAAAGGUUACAAUAUACUUCAAAGAAAAAAUCAGUCGAAUGACUAGCUGCGUAAGCUACUGGAAAUAGUCAAGCGCUUGGAGGAAGGUGUGUUCAGAGACACUGCAACAAAGUUGAUGCCAAUGCCAUGAUAACGAUCAAGGAGCGGUAUCAGAUCUAGAGGAAUUGGAUGGGAGAUCCAUGUUUCCCUAGUGCUUUUGUUUGGGAUGGACUAAUUAAAUUGUACUUAUAACUAGUCAAAUUCUCCAAGGGUCACUGCUUUGUGAGUUCUACAAGGUGGAUUGACCAAAUAAAUAACCAAAUUUGUUGCUAGUCAUAGUGCACUACAAUACUUUGAUAAAGAGGGACUAAUCAAGCGUAGAGAUAGCAAUCAACGUGAAGGUUGAAGUCAAGACGGUUAAUGCUAGAGAAUCAACGGGCUCGCUAAAAGUGGCAGAACGAAGGUCUAUUGCAGUUGCCGAUCUUAUAAUUACGUACAUUGAGGACUAAUUGUGUUUAGCCUAAGAGGAAUGGCUAGAAAAAGCAUAUGAACCAAAGUAUUUUUAAUCCUUUACGACUCAAGAUUUUCUGAUAAUAAUAAAACUGUUAUUGAACUCA